UACGAAGGGGGCUAGCGUUGCUCGGAAUCACUGGGCGUAAAGGGUGCGUAGGCGGGUCUUUUAAGUCAGGGGUGAAAUCCUGGAGCUCAACUCCAGAACUGCCUUUGAUACUGAAGAUCUUGAGUCGGGAGAGGUGAGUGGAACUGCGAGUGUAGAGGUGAAAUUCGUAGAUAUUCGCAAGAACACCAGUGGCGAAGGCGGCUCACUGGCCCGGUAUACUGACGC
rnacentral:rRNA from 1 species